AAGAGAGAAAGAAAGGGAGAGGCACGGGCAGAGAGCAAGGGAAGGAUGGGAAAUAGCCCAGAGAGACUGAGAAAGAGAGGGAUGCGGAUCAGGACAAGGAGGGGGAGAAGGACAGAACAGCGAUGGUCUCCAGGAUGGAGACGGCGGAGGAGCAGAAGGGGAUGGGGAGCAGGACGGAGCCCAGAGAGAAGAGAGAAGGCCCACCCAGCUGAGCAGGGGAUACAGGCAGGAAAGAGGGGCCAGGCUGCAGGAGAGAGAGGAAUGAGAAAAUACAGACAGGGAGCGAGAAAGAGAAAGAAAAAAAUAGUGGAGAGAGGGAGGAAUUAAAAAAUGGGGGCAGGGAGCCAGACAGAGUGCGGUGGGGAGAGACCAAAAAUAGCAAUUCUGGGCAACUGCCCCCAUUUCUUGAGCACUCCCCAGGAGCUGCAUUACCGGGAGCCUCAAGGAAUGUGCUGCCUGCCAAAGCCCUGCCCUGGGCCCAGUCCUGUGCCCUAGUAUUGGUGAAGAGCAUUGCCUUGCACAGUGGCAAGGACUGAGGGAAGAAGAGGACAGCUGGGGGGGGAAAAAUCACCGAACUGGUUUUUGGUUUUUGUUUUGUUUUUUUUUUUCUUGACGGUUUUGCUUUUAAAAAGAAUAGUAUUUAAGCUCUAAAUACAAACUGCAAGGAAAAGGAACCAGGGGUACCAGUCUGGACACAUUUAAAGCCUGAACCCAUUCAACAGCUGCACCAACCACCACUCCUGCUGCACACACUCCACCGCCUGCCUGCAGGCUGGGUUAAAGACUCAUCCAUCAAGUGGUGGCUCAGGACCAUGCCGGGGCAAAUGGCACUGCUUUUCUGAAUCCCAUGGCAGCGAUGGGCAAAGGAACAGGGAGACCCAGUGGAGACGUAGCGUGCGCUGGAGAGCGUCCUUCAGGGAGGUGACAGCCGAUUGCACAGCAACGCUGAGACCCACCUGACAGCAAAGGCGCCUGGUGGCCACGGACGACCCUA